UACAGGAGACUGCAAGCGUUAUUCGGAUUCACUGGGCGUAAAAGGGUGCGCAGGCGGCCAAGUGUGUUAGGCGUGAAAGCCCGGGGGCUUAACCCCGGAAUUGCACCUAAAACUACAUGGCUAGAGCAUUGGAGAGGGUGAGCGGAAUUCACGGUGUAGCAGUGAAAUGCGUACGAUAUCGAGUGAGGAACACCAGAGGCGAAGGCGGCUACCUGGACAAUUGCUGACGCUCAGGCACGAAAGCGUGGGGAGCAAAAGGG
rnacentral:rRNA from 1 species